AGUGAACGCUGGCGGUAGGCCUAACACAUGCAAGUCGAACGGCAGCACAGUAAGAGCUUGCUCUUACGGGUUGCGAGUGGCGGACGGGUGAGGAAUACAUCGGAAUCUACUUUUUCGUGGGGGAUAACGUAGGUAAACUUACGCUAAUACCGCAUACGACCUACGGUUGAAAGCAGGGGAUCUUCGGACCUUGCGCGAUUGAAUGAGCCGAUGUCGGAUUAGCUAGUUGGCGGGGUAAAGGCCCACCAAGGCGACGAUCCGUAGCUGGUCUGAGAGGAUGGUCGGCCACACUGGAACUGAGACACGGUCAAGACUCCUACGGGAGGCAGCAGUGGGGAAUAGUGGACAAUGGGAGGAAGCCUGAUCCAGCCAUACCGCGUGGGUGAAGAAGGCCUUCGGGUUGUAAAGCCGUUUUGUUGGGAAAGAAAAGCAGCAGGUUAAUACCCAGCUGUUCUGACGGUACCGAAAGAAUAAGCACCGGCUAACUUCGUG
rnacentral:rRNA from 1 species